rnacentral:rRNA from 1 species
UACGGAGGGGGCUAGCGUUGUUCGGAAUUACUGGGCGUAAAGCGCGCGUAGGCGGACCUGCAAGUCGGGGGUGAAAGCCCGAGGCUCAACCUCGGAACUGCCUUCGAUACUGCGGGUCUCGAGUCCGGGAGAGGUGAGUGGAAUUCCUAGUGUAGAGGUGAAAUUCGUAGAUAUUAGGAAGAACACCAGUGGCGAAGGCGGCUCACUGGCCCGGUACUGACGCUGAGGCGCAAAAAGCGUGGGGAGCAAACAGG